AAAAAGGCUCCUUUAGGGCGUAGACAUUCGCUAAGAACGGAUUUCACGAAAUUCAACCCCUAAGGGGGUUAAACGGGGGUUGGAAGUUUGUAUGAAAGUCCUAUGUUUUUGAAUUAAGAAACUUGAAAUUUAAAAUGUAUGCUCUAUAGAUGGUGAGGAGGUGUCCAAAUAAUGUAUCUUUAGAAAUCAACUCCCUUUUGGGGUUAAAACGGGGGAUGGUAGGUUGACUCACUCAUCACGAAAUCUCCGAAACUAUAACAGCUACAAACUUGAAAUUUGGCAAAAAGGCUCCUUGUAGGGCGUAGACAUUCGCUAAGAACGGAUUUCACGAAAUUCAACCCCUAAAGGGGUAAAACGGGGGUUGAAAGUUUGUAUGAAAGUCCUAUGUUUUUGAAUUAAGAGACUUGAAAUUUAAAAUGUAUGCUCUAUAGAUGGUGAGGAGGUGUCCAAAUAAUGCAUCGUAAUCUAUAUAUAUAUAUAAGAGAAAGGUCACUGACUCACUCAUCACGAGAACCCAAAAACUGCUGGAGGGUCCAUCCAUCCAGGAUGGAUAAAGAUGAAAUUUGGCAGAGAGGUAGAUUAUAGUUAGUAGACG
rnacentral:misc_RNA from 1 species